CUUAAAAAACAUACAAAACUACGUUAAAAAGUUAUAUUUUUGUUUUAAAUAAUAAAAAUUUUUACAAAAAAACAACGCUAGAAUCAAUACUAAAUGUUCUUGUUUUUAUUUAUAACAAAUACUUUUUUCUUAGGCCCCCUAAGUGCGAAACCUGGGUGCAGACGGCUCUACUGGCCUUCUCGUGAUACAUUCCAUGUACCGUACACGUACCCGAAGAGGGGUGGAAAUCAAGAAUGUGUUGCAGCCAAGUAGAAAAGCUUCCACAGGAAAACAUUCUGUAACAAAGACGUUGCUUCCGGUUUUCUCGCAAUUUUUACCUACUAAAGAAUUUUAUUUAAUAUUUUCAAGUUAGAAGCUUCCAUUUUUUAAAUAAUAGAUUUAUUUUUUUUUUCUUAUUUUGGCCCCAUUAAGCUUAAGAUGAGAAUU